UGUAUUUUUUUCUCUUUUUAUUACUGUACUGUCAAUAUAUAAGUCAGGCAAGAUAUUUUGAAUUUUCUUUUUUUUAGAAGUUGGAUGAAAAAGUAUCCAUUUUGUUUUAUCGGUAUUUAAAGACAACCUAUUUUUUUGAACCAAUAUGAAAUAUUAUUAAGUUCCUCAGUCAUAUGGUUAAAGAGUAUUUUAAUGUCUUCGUUGGACUGAAAUAAACUCGUAUCGCCGGCAAAAAUUAUAGUCGCUAAAUUAGAAGUUUUGUAAAGAUCAUUUAUGUAUAUUAAAAAUAAGAGUGUCCCAAGUAUGGAUCCUUGGGGAAAACCACAUGUUACAUUCGUUAAAAAUUGAGGCGAAGAUUCUUUGUUAUAAACAAAUUGUUUACGGUUACUUAGAUAACUUUUAAACCAGUUUAGGGUUACAUCUCUUAUACCAUAGCUUUCUAGCUUUUUCAAUAAAAUAUGGUGAUUAACAGUGUCAAAAGCUUUUGACAAAUCAAUAAAUAUGCCAAGAGUAAAUUGAGAAUUCUUAGAGUCGACAAUACUGCGCGUUACUUGGAGAAUAGCGUGUUCAGUAGAACUUCUUCUUUGAAAACCAAACUGAUUUUUAUAAAGAAGUUUAUUGUCAAUAAGAUAAGUGUACAAUCUGUUGUACAUUAUUUUUUCUAAUAUUUUUUAAAAGACUGGUAGAACUGAGAUAGGACGAUAAUUUGUUACGUUUGUAGGGUUGCCUGUUUUAAAGAAUGGAGUUAUUUUUGCUAUUUUCAAGCUAUCUGGAAAAGAUCCUUGAGUAAAAGAUGCUUUAAAAAUUUUAAAGAGGAUAUCUUUAAUCGCAUCAAAAGAGUCGAUUAUAAUGUUCCCAUUUAUAUCAUCAGGCCCAGUUGCUUUAUUUCUUUUUAUUGCUUUAUAUGCUAUUUUAAAUUCACUAAAUGUUAGAUUUGAAAAGUUCAGAGUUGAAUUUGUUAAUAAAAUAAAUUCAUCAACGGAGUUAUUGUCUACAUAAGGAAUUUUAUUUGAUAGAUUUUGUCCUAUAUUUGAUAGAUUUUGUCCUAUAUACAACAAUAUUGUUGAAAAAAACUUGUUAAAUUCGGUGACAAUUUCCUUCGAAUCGUUAACUAUUUUAAUUUUAAUUUUUAUUGCAGCCGGCAUAGAUUUUGUGCAUGUCUUAUGUUUACCAGUAGUAUCCUUCAUUAUUUGCCAAACUCGCUUUGAAUUAUAUUUGUGCUUCGUAAGCAAGUCCAAAUAGUAAAUUUUUUUGGCUUUUUUGCGGAGUUUUUCAAAUAAAUUUUUAUAGACAGUGUAAGUGAUUUUAUGCUUUUCUGAUUUAGUUUUUAGAUACUUAACAUAAAGUUUUUGCUUUAUUUUUGAGGACUUUUAAUUCCUUUAGUUAUCCAAGGACAAGAUAGGUCUUUUGCGUUAAGAAUUGUUUCACGCAAUGGAAAGUUUGCGUUGUAGGUUUAUAGAUGAGGUUUAUAUCGUCAUUGAAAUUUAUAUAGCUCCAGUCUUGAUUCAAAAGUUGCUCUUUAAAUAAAUUUAGGUUAGUGUUGUUGUAAACACGUUUUUUAAUUGUUACCUUUCCAUGCAUACUUGGUUUGCUGUUUGCGCUUAUGCAGAAAAAAAUAGGAAAAUGGUCAGAAACAUCGGUUUUUACAAUGCCUUUUUUAAGCGUUGUAUUAAAAAUGUCAUUCGUUAGAAUGUUGUCAAUUAAAGAGGACGAAUGAUUUGUUAUUCUAGUAGGUUUAUCAAUAAUGGGUAUUGUUCCUGUUUGGAAUAAGUAAUUAUAAUAAUCUAAUAAUUUCAAGAAGUGCUUGAUUUGCUCUAAUGUCAAACUUCCAAAGUUAUUUAUUCUCUAUAAUUCAUUUUUAAAACACUUUCAUUAAAAGUUAUAAAGAAUUGCCAAUAAUAAUGCUAUUGAGCUGAUUUUUGUUUUAGUUUGUAGCAUGUAUUUUUAUAUAUUUUGUUUUAGUAUGAAUGCUCCAAACUUUCUGCAACUGUGAUAAUAAAACUCUAUUCCGUAGAGUUUGUUGUGAUGAUUAAAGUAAGAUGUUGUCAUCGAGAACAGCCUAAACUGUAAACAUUGAGAACAGCCUAAACUGUAAACAUCGAGAACAGCCUAAAGUGUAAACAUCGAGAACAGCCUAAACUGUAAACAUCGAGAACAGCCUAAACUGUCAUACUAAUCAUACUUAUCUAUUUAUAAUAAAAUGAUAAAUUGUGUGUCAUAUACUUUAUUUAAAAUCUGCUGUGAAUUAAAUUAAAUAUCAUGAAAUCUCAAGACAUGAAAUUUUUAAUGGAGUUUUGGUCCAAGUACCACAUGUUUUAAUAAAUAUAUUUGUAAGCAACCUGCAUUUGGUUGUGAUUGUAAAUUUUUAUUGUGAUAUUACAUUUUAGUUCACAAAGUUAUAAAAACAACCUUAACUCAAGUCUCUGUAACUAUGGUUUGGUAAUGGAUUGAAUUUUUUCGUCAAUAAUAAAAAUAAUUGUUAUUGUAACAUGAUUGUUUAUAAGUUGUGACCAUGUUGUUUAUAAGUUGUGACCAUUUUGUAUAUAUGUUGUUACUAUGUUGUAUAAGUAUAUAUGUAAUAAGUUAUUAGAUUGUACAUAUGUUUGUUUUUAUUUUAUUAAAGUUAAAAUGGAUGCAAGGACUAAAGAAGACAAAAACGUUACACAUUAAAGCAGAAAUUUAUCACGAAUCGUGUUGACGAUUAGAUAUGAAUCGCAGAAACGCACCUUUGUCAAAUGGUUAUGAAUUAAACCUUUGUAUUAUUUUUGUUUUUUCUAAAUAUAUUUUGAAAUUUAA
rnacentral:lncRNA from 1 species